CUGUGAUGUGGAGGCCAUGGCUCCACUGGACUCAUGAGGAGACUGAGGCUCAGAGCAAUGAAGUGACCUGCUCAAAGUUAAGGAGCUUCAUUGAGGACCCAAGUUGUUCUGAUCCUAAGGUCACCAUCCUUAAUCCCUCUCCCUGUGGGGUCUUCCCUAUCUUGAACCUGGAGACAACUGUGCAGUGGCAAGAGAAAGACCUUCAGAGCCACACUGACGUGGCCUCCCUGACGACCCCUGAUGGCCUUGCAUGCUUGCCCUUGGGACUCAGACACCAUAUUUUGAGGAAGCCCAAGCUACAUGCAGAGGCCACUAUAGAUGUUCUGGCCAACAGCCCAAGCUUCAGCUGCCAGACAUAUGAAUAAACCAACUCUUCAAAUGA